rnacentral:misc_RNA from 1 species
GAUGAAGAACGUAGCGAAAUGCGAUAAGUAAUGUGAAUUGCAGAAUUCAGUGAAUCAUCGAAUCUUUGAACGCACAUUGCGCCCCUUGGUAUUCCGAGGGGCAUGCCUGUUCGAGCGUCAUUAUAACCCCUCAAGCUCAGCUUGGUGUUGGGGCCUGCUGCACUGGCAGCCCUUAAAAUCAGUGGCGGCGCCAUCUGGCUCUAAGCGUAGUAAUUCUUCUCGCUAUGGAGUCCUGGUGGAUGCUUGCCAUAAACCCCCAAUUUUUCUAUGGUUGACCUCGGAUCAGGUAGGGAUACCCGCUGAACUUAAGCAUAUCAAUAAGCGGAGGA